GCAAAUUACCCACUCCCGGCACGGGGAGGUAGUGACGAAAAAUAACGAUACGGGACUCAUCCGAGGCCCCGUAAUCGGAAUGAGCACACUUUAAAUCCUUUAACGAGUAUCCAUUGGAGGGCAAGUCUGGUGCCAGCAGCCGCGGUAAUUCCAGCUCCAAUAGCGUAUAUUAAAGUUGUUGCGGUUAAAAAGCUCGUAGUCGGACUUGUGUCACACGCUGCCGGUUCACCGCCCGUCGGUGUUUAACUGGCAUGCACGUGCUGACGUCCUGCCGGUGGCCCAAGCGGGUCCGGGAGCUCUGGGUGCGGGAUUCCCUUCGGGGGCCCGCCUCGAACCCGGUGUCCUGGGAGGGCCUACUCAUACCCCUCGCGGUGCUCUUAACCGAGUGUCUCGAUGGGCCGGCACGUUUACUUUGAACAAAUUAGAG
rnacentral:rRNA from 1 species